UCGGCCCCCCCUGGGAUGAAACCCGGCCCCAAUCUCCUCGGGGAGGCAGCAGUAGGGAUUCUUCCGCAAUGGACGAAAUUCUGACGGAGCAACCCCGCGUGAGUGAUGAAGGUUUUCGGAUCGUAAAGCUCUGUUGUUAGGGAAGAACAAGUGCAAGAGUAACUGCUUGCACCUUGACGGUACCUAACCAGAAAGCCACGGCUAACUACGUGCCAGCAGCCGCGGUAAUACGUAGGUGGCAAGCGUUGUCCGGAAUUAUUGGGCGUAAAGGGCUCGCAGGCGGUUUCUUAAGUCUGAUGUGAAAGCCCCCGGCUCAACCGGGGAGGGUCAUUGGAAACUGGGAAACUUGAGUGCAGAAGAGGAGAGUGGAAUUCCACGUGUAGCGGUGAAAUGCGUAGAGAUGUGGAGGAACACCAGUGGCGAAGGCGACUCUCUGGUCUGUAACUGACGCUGAGGAGCGAAAGCGUGGGGAGCGAACAGGAUUAGAUACCCUGGUAGUCCACGCCGUAAACGAUGAGUGCUAAGUGUUAGGGGGUUUCCGCCCCUUAGUGCUGCAGCUAACGCAUUAAGCACUCCGCCUGGGGAGUACGGUCGCAAGACUGAAACUCAAAGGAAUUGACGGGGGCCCGCACAAGCGGUGGAGCAUGUGGUUUAAUUCGAAGCAACGCGAAGAACCUUACCAGGUCUUGACAUCCUCUGACAACCCUAGAGAUAGGGCUUUCCCUUCGGGGACAGAGUGACAGGUGGUGCAUGGUUGUCGUCAGCUCGUGUCGUGAGAUGUUGGGUUAAGUCCCGCAACGAGCGCAACCCUUGAUCUUAGUUACCAGCAUUCAGUUGGGCACUCUAAGGUGACUGCCGGUGACAAACCGGAGGAAGGUGGGGAUGACGUCAAAUCAUCAUGCCCCUUAUGACCUGGGCUACACACGUGCUACAAUGGACAGAACAAAGGGCUGCGAGACCGCAAGGUUUAGCCAAUCCCACAAAUCUGUUCUCAGUUCGGAUCGCAGUCUGCAACUCGACUGCGUGAAGCUGGAAUCGCUAGUAAUCGCGGAUCAGCAUGCCGCGGUGAAUACGUUCCCGGGCCUUGUACACACCGCCCGUCACACCACGAGAGUUUGCAACACCCGAAGUCGGUGAGGUAACCUUUAUGGAGCCAGCCGCCGAAGGUGGGGCAGAUGAUUGGGGUGAAGUCGUAACAAGGUA
rnacentral:rRNA from 1 species